UAGGGAGACCUAAUCCAUUUAGAAAUCGAAAACAAUGAAAAUUGUCAAUAGAAACUAAAUUGGUCUAACCUAGGUCGUUCGAGAUUGGUAGACAUCUUUCAAAGUAUUAUUCGGCUUCGUUCAAAACCAUAUAUAAUAAGUGGAAAAAGACAGCACCUAAUUGUCAAAGUUAGACUGCUGGAUGAAGUUCCAGCCAGAACCUUGAAAACUGCAUAAGAGAACAAGAAAAAGCAGGCAGACACAGACAUUUAGAUGGAUGUGGAAGCAAAAGAAAUUGU
rnacentral:misc_RNA from 1 species